CGGGAAGUAGCUCAGCUUGGUAGAGCACUUGGUUUGGGACCAAGGGGUCGCAGGUUCGAAUCCUGUUUUCCCGA
rnacentral:tRNA from 4 species